rnacentral:rRNA from 1 species
UACGUAGGGACCAAGCGUUGUUCGGAUUUACUGGGCGUAAAGGGCGCGUAGGCGGCGUGGUAAGUCACUUGUGAAAUCUCGGAGCUUAACUCCGAAACUGCAUUCGAUACUGCCGUGCUUGAGGACUGGAAAGGAGACUGGAAUUUACGGUGUAGCGGUGAAAUGCGUAGAUAUCGUAAGGAAGACCAGUGGCGAAGGCGGGUCUCUGGACAGUUCCUGACGCUGAGGCACGAAGGUCAGGGGAGCAAACGGG